rnacentral:rRNA from 1 species
AUGCGAUUUGCUGCAAAUGAGACUGCCAAAUCAGGUGGAGGUGCCGCAGCAGCAUCCCACGGCAGGAUCUUUAGGCCUGUUGCGCUGGUGGCGAACAGAAGGGAUAACUCGCCUAGUUGCCUUCGACCACCGCCCACCGGGCUCUCCACGGAAGAUAAUCCCCAGGCCCCGGCUGAAAUAAAAGGUGCUGAUGCUGGCUCUGGGAGGGGUACGAGGGGGCAGAACAAGAGUUGUUGUGUCAACAAUGCAGUGACAGGGGAUGGGACACCUUGCGAUGUGCCUGAAGCCUUGAUGCAAUAUGACCGCAAUGAGGUUGCUGGACAAUCAGACAUCCAUGAGCAUGAGGAUGAAGUGGGUAGGGGAUUGUGCGUGGUGUCAGGCUGGACGAGGAGUAAGAGUAACCUAAGGUUGCAGAUAGGCAUGGUCAGGACAUCGUGA